GCUGUGUGUUAUAUGUGUCACACGGGACGUGCCGGGUCCGUUUAAAGUACCCGGGACGGGAAAGGUAGGGGAGUGAUGUCAAGUCAGCAUGGCCUUUAUAUCCUGGGCUACACACACGCUACAAUGGCCAACACAAUAGGUUGCUAAGCCGCGAGGUGGCGCCAAUCCAUAAAGUUGGUCUCAGUUCAGAUUGUAGGCUGCAACCCGCCUGCAUGAAGAUGGAGUUGCUAGUAACCGCAGGUCAGCUAUACUGCGGUGAAUACGUUCCCGGGGCUU
rnacentral:rRNA from 1 species